GAUGAAGAACGUAGUAAAAUGCGAUAAGUAAUGUGAAUUGCAGAAUUCAGUGAAUCAUCGAAUCUUUGAACGCGCAUUGCGCCCGCCAGUAUUCUGGCGGGCAUGCCUGUUCGAGCGUCAUUUCAACCCUCAAGCACAGCUUGGUGUUGGGACUCGCGUUAAUUCGCGUUCCUCAAAUUGAUUGGCGGUCACGUCGAGCUUCCAUAGCGUAGUAGUAAAACCCUCGUUACUGGUAAUCGUCGCGGCCACGCCGUUAAACCCCAACUUCUGAAUGUUGACCUCGGAUCAGGUAGGAAUACCCGCUGAACUUAAGCAUAUCAAUAAGCGGAGGA
rnacentral:misc_RNA from 1 species